CACAAAGGUCCUGGUGUGAUGGGUGCCAAGCAGAAGUGAGGGAAAAGGGCCAGUCUGAGAUGAGGUAUGUUUUUGUACUUGGUGGUGCUGUCAUUGUAACUUUCAGCCACGAAGAAGUAUGACUGAGUGGGAAAGGUCACAUAGCAGAAGCAGGAUAUUUUGCUGCUGCUAUAUGCAGCAGGCUAGCAUGGAGCAGCAGGGACAUGUUCUGGCUUCACACCCUGAGCUGGGCCACAUGUGGGCAGAGAGCAGGAGCCCCUGCCCUGGUGGCCUCCAGCCUUUCUCACUCCUCUGGGUGGCUGCAUGCAGAUGUGCACAAACAUGCACAUCUGCUGCAUCCAUAAGUGACAUCUAAACUAUAAUAAUUCAUGUUUCUGUAUGGCACUUGAAGUGGAAAAAGUUGGGAGAGGUUUGCAAGCCACACAAGUGCUCACAUUUUGUAUACAGCACUCCAAUAAAUGGCUUCUUAUAAGCCAUAAGCAGCUUAAAAAAAACCCAAAACAUUCAAAAGUUUCUCAUGUUAUAGAACUGCUGGCAGCCCGUUUCUUGACAAAAAUAGAAGUUCUGUUAAUUCAGUAGAGAAAGGAUAAAGGCUGUUAUGGCUGUUCAGAAAAUUAUGAGUGGAGGUAUGAUGCCAUGUGCAUGUCUUGAGACAGAAUGGCUUUUGCUUCAUCUACAUCUACCAUUCCAGACAUCCAUUUUCCCUGGAGUUUGUUUACAUGAGAAAUCAAGCUGAAUUAAAGAAAUUAAGACAAACCACGAGGCCAUUCAUACAGUCCCUAAUGUCCCUUAGCUAACGUAGUUUAUCUUUUUACCUGCAACAGCAAUUCUUACAAAUGUCAGUGUACAGGAACCACCAAAACACAAGUGGGUUCUGCAGCUACAACAGGAGGAAAUACCUUGUGCUUCUAAAUGCAAUGAGACAUUUGGCUAAGCUGAAGAAACUUCAACAGUGCAUGGAGCCAGGUUCACCCCAUCUACGCUGGAGUAUAAGAAAUUUGGUGACCCACUCCUUCCACAGCACAGAGCUGUAAUUGCCCAACUUUACUGGCAAUGAAGGAAGCAUGAGGGAGCCAGAAUAACUGUGGCAAAGGGAACAGUUGUGGUCAAAUUACAUCCAAUGCGGACAGGAGACUCAUCAGCGAAAUUCCAGGUAUUCACACUGAAUUAGUGCUGACUGUGGAACUACUCAAUGUUGCCCAUCAUCCUCCAUUGAAACCACACACAUGCAGUCUUCAAGCUGGUCUCCAAAAGUGAUGAACUAUUCUUAAAGUCAGCUGUGGUCGUGCAGUGGCACAUGUCUGCAGUGAACUCUUCCUUGCUGAGGUGAUCCCCGCUGUGGCCAGUUUUAUGCAAUGAGAUGAGCAUUGCAUGCUUCCUGUGGUCAUCUCCUUGCAUCAAUUGGCUUUGGAUUAAUUGGCUUGAUUUGAAGUUAUCAUCCAUCUUUCAAAUCCCCAGUUAAGCUGGAAUGUUCCACAGCAGGCAGAUGGAAUUACUACUGUAUAAACAGCUGUAACAGAUGAUUAUUUUCAGAGAACUUGAAGAGCAGACUUAGUAAGGAGCAGAACCAGGCCCAAUAACCAUCUUGCCUUAGGCAAGGUGAUUACAUAUUGGUUAAAUAAGCUGUCUUUUGUAUUUAGGCUACAGUUUUGUGCCAACAGAUGAAAUGCAAUGAGUCUUCUUAGGACAGCCUUUACAGUGGCAGUUUCCAGUCUAGUUUGACUCUCCUUGCUGUCCUGUUCUCCUUAGUAAUUUGGCAGGGAGGGGUGUGAGGAAAGCAGAGGGGGAUCAGAAAGGCAUGGCUUUGUUCACAUGUGGAACUUAUUGAAGAAAAGUUGGGGAGGGUGACUUUCAAUUUAGCUGUUUAGACAUUUCUCAUUCUCUUCACUAGACUGUACAAGCGAUGGGGACUUUCCAGCCAUUUGCAUACAGUCUUAGAACAGGUUGGUUAAAUAGCCAUGGAGACCUAAAAAUAGCCGGGGGGAAAAUAGUGGCACCAAAUAAGCUGUAACUCAGUAUAAAUCCACUGUGGACUAAUGAAGAGACUGAAGUCCUCUUCCUAUCCACAGAAAAUGGUGGGACAUUUACCCUCAGGCUUUUAUUCAUAUAGUGAAAUAAAAACAAUGUGGAAAUACUGCACAACAGGUAAGAAAAUCAUAGAACCAUAGAAUUGUUUCAGUUGGAAAGGGCACUUACAGGUCAUCUAGUCCAACUCCCCUAUGUUCUAAUUAUGAACCUGUCCCUAGAGCCAUUAAUCCUCUUGGUUGCACUGCCAAACUUGUGCUUAGGUUUGUUUUUACCACUUUUGCUUCUUUGUUCCUGUCAGAACGUAGAAUGGGUGCAGUCAUUGAGAACAGAGCAAGUGUGGGCAAUAGCUCAGGAAAGGGCAUUGAGGAGCACAGACUACGAGUAAGCAUGUAACAUGCUCCCAGGCAGCCAAGUCAUGCUACGUUCAGGUCUCUUGCCCAAGUAACUUGCCCUUACUUACACACAGCCAAGUGAGAAUUCACAUCAUUAAAGCUUGCUCUCAGCCUUUGCAGCCUCCUGCGCGACUAAACCUGGUGUUUGCCUCAAUUGCCUACCAAACAACAAACCAUUGCCUUAUUUGCGGAGAGAACUCCAGUUCCCCCUGAAAAAUGGUCAUGCAGCAGCUAACACUGAAAACAGAGAGAUUUAAAUUCUCUUUUCACCCGUUCACCUUUAUCAAGGAGUCUGAGGUUUACUACCACGUUCUCUGGCCCAGCUUUUAAGCCAGUAAUCACUCAAUAGCUCUUAACACAGCCUCCAUGAUAACCAUUUCCAAAACACUUGAAAGGCUCAGCUUCUCCAAAGAAGACAGAUUUUCAUCACUGUGGAAAAGAAACACCAAGGCAAAUUCCCAUAUGCCCACUUAGUUGAUGAAAUGCCCUUUUUAUUGCACUGUGCAAGCUGUGGCCCAGGAAGCCAACACCCAGAGAUGUACUUGUCAUGCCAGCACAGCCCAGAUUGGUGGCACUUGCUAAGUGUGAUGUAAAAGGAUGCAGCGCAAGGGACAGAGGCCAGACAAGAGAUUUACACAUUGCUUAUCAGGAUGAAACACCUACUAAAAGCUCUCCCAGAUAGAAACGGCUUCUGCUGAGAAAACAGCAAAAGUAAACAAAUAGCUGAGCCAGCUGAUUGAUGUACAAAUGAAGAGCACAGCACAAACAAUGCAUUUACGUGCAUUUACCAGUUUUGGAAUUAACUAAAAGAUGUAUUAGAGCAGAAAGACAUAGCAAUAAACUGAAUAAUUACUUUCUCUGGCUCUGAAAACUGAGGUUGACUUUGGCAGCAAGGGAGGCUAAAUCUGCUAAAAGACUGUUUGCACAUCCCAAGGUCAGCUAUUUUCAGCCUGCAGUUCUUGUCAGCUUUGGGCUGAGACCCCAGCUUUUCUUCUCUUUCUCUGACCCCAGCCUGUAAUUUAUAACUUUCUUAUUAACAAAAGGAUUGUUAGAAAUGUUUCAUCUGUCACAUAAGUUUGUUAAUACCGUUCAAGAGACAACUGUAAGUAAAGGGACUGAAAUGUAUUCAUAUGGUACAAAGGAGAACCAAACAUAACUGGAACGCACUGGAAGAGAAGUUGGAAUAUUCAAAUAGUAUGAGGCCUUCCAAAACUCACAUCCAGGUGGUAUCUGAUACAAAUUUAUUUCUAACCUUCCAGAAGUAGCUGUCUUAAGUGAAAACUCUUACACUACUCAACAAACAGACAGAAUUACCCUGGAAAAGUCUUAGGACACCUAUGGCCAUUUUCAUCACUACUGAACAGUUACAACUAUGGAAUCAUGACAGUAGACAAAAAGUGGCAGUUAAUUUUAACCCUGAUCAGGCCUGGGAUUAACACUGCAGCAUGCAACUUCAAUUAUUUACAGUCAGAUUGGCUCAACUAUUAGAAAGCCAGCAGUGCAAUAUGAGGAACAAAUACAUCAGAGCAUCAUGAAUGAAGUAGUACUCUUCUUAUGCUCAAUUACUCUUCCUGGUAAAUGAAAUACAGAUUGGAAAAAAUAUUAUAUAAAUAUAAAUAAAAUCUCAGUUUGCUGAAAACAAAAGAAAUAUUUUUAAAAUGGAAAAAUGGGUAAAAAACAAGAACUUGUACAACGACGGAUAUCAAACUGCAAGUCUUAGAAAAAUCUGAUGCUUUCAGCACCUUUUGAAAUGCAGACCGUUACCCAAAAGAGUGGCAGCUAAUCAAAAUGACAGCAGUAGUUCAGCUUCCAUUUCUCACUUCACAUUGUCUAAUUUGUGCCCUUGGGUGCUCAGUUUCUUAUUCCUCAGUUCUCUAAAAUCUGAUGUUCCACUUCCCCCUACUUGCAGCCAAAUCUGUCAGAAACUGUGAACUCGAGAUGAGAAACAACGCUCAAUCCCUACUGAAACAAAACAAGAUGAUAAAUAUCUGUGUAUGAUCAAAUUAGAGAGGCAUUACCAUGGGCUAUAAUGUGGCCCCUUCUCUUCACUGCCCCACCAGCUGUGAUUAAGAUGUGCUCCUGUUUGCUUCAUAUAAAGUGCGACAGAAAAAGUUUGUCCUAUUCCUUAAUGAAGUGACACCAGAUUGGUAGCUCCAAGCUCAGGCUCAUUUUUGUCAGUCACUGUACCUGAUCAGUUCCAGAACAAAUCCACCACAAAGUACAAACUCUGUAUAAUUUCUGAUAAACGUAUCUUUGAGCAUUUUAAAGUAAAGUGAAAGGAAAAAAUCUAAGCUCCUGCUCAAUAGUGCUCACUCAAGGCAUUCACAUAGAAGGAGACGAGUAAUGAAAUUCAUCUGAGGUCCAUGACCUGACAGAAGAGAAGCUGGAAUUCAGCUCCCACCUCUCCAGGCAGCAAUGAGCACAGCAGUUCAGAGCCAAAUUCAUUCCCUGGCUUUGAUCUAGCUUUUGUCUGUCAUUUAAAAGAGACAAGAGAAAUCUGGAGAAAAAGUUGAUCUAGAAAAGUUCAUGCUAGCCAAUAAAAUAAACAGAAUCACUUGAAAAGUUCUCAAAUCUAUCUUAUUCUGUCUCAGACAGACCUUGUUUGAUUCUAAGUUUACUUAGAAAAGAAUUCUACUGACUUAAUGACAGAAGGCAGCUUCUCUUUCAGUCUGGAUUAGAGAUCUGAUGGACAAAGUGAAAUAAGAAUAGAAACAGCAUAAAAUGAUCACACAUUGGGAGAGUCCUUUUUUCUAAAGUGACAUCUUUAAAAAACAGCUCUCAAAUGAGUAGAUGGCUUGCUUUUAUCUGCAACAUGAACUGUUUUAACGAACAACAUUCCUUUCCUCCAAGUUUCACUGCUCCUGUCUUUAAUUCCAACUGGUUUUUGCCCCUAAUCAAACCAUGGUGCUGGAUCAAAUGCUGCUGCAGUUAAGAUCAAUGCUAAUUUGAAAAAAUGUCAGCAGAAGCAGAAUUUGGUCAGUAGAUUCAGGGGGCACGCUUCAAUAUCUUUUGAAGUUAAGCAUCGUAUUUAUUAUCAAAUUACACUAAUUGUCUACAUAUAAAAAAAAAGGGGGACUUAAAAUAAAUCCCUUUCAGCACUGACACUUGUGGAUCUUUUUUCAGGAACUAUUUAACAUCAUACAGGAAUACAUUUAUUUACGGUAUAGGAAGAACACUGUAUAAUUUACAAAGCACAGGGAGAAGGAACAAAGUUACUCCCAAGUUAGAAUUUCACUGAUGGAAGUAUGCCAACACAUAGCCCAAACUUUGCAAAAGCCUAAAUUCUAAGUAGUCAGAACGUUUUCCUUUUAAUACAGAAGCAUCUCUCUCUCCAUUAUUUUUUUUAAAUAAAUGAAUCAAUGCAAUUGUUUUCUGUUUCUGUAUCCAGCCAUCACAUACUCUCUGAAUACAUUCACAUCUCACAUGGACUUGUUUCUAUUCUGCGUUGCCUCUUUUUUAAAAUAAAAAAAAAAUGUUACAACAAUGUACACUCAACUUUGUAUUGGCAUUCAACAUCUAAAUAACAGAAGUAAAUUGGAAGUUGCACAAU